rnacentral:rRNA from 1 species
UACGUAGGGGGCUAGCGUUGUCCGGAAUCAUUGGGCGUAAGGAGCGUGUAGGCGGCCCGGUAAGUCCGCUGUGAAAGUCGGGGGCUCAACCCUCGAAUGCCGGUGGAUACUGUCGGGCUAGAGUGCGGAAGAGGCGAGUGGAAUUCCUGGUGGAGCGGUGAAAUGCGCAGAGAUCAGGAGGAACACCCGUAGCGAAGGCGGCACUCUGGGCCGAUACUGACACUGAGGAGCGAAAGCGUGGGGAGCGAACAGG